CUACUAUUGUUUUUUAUUUCUAGAGUGCCACCAUCUCCACAAAUCGUAUUCUCAGCUGAUGGUGAUUUGGGUAUGGCGCCUUAUGGUCUCAAGAAUACGAUUAAGGGUAUUCUACUAUUGGCUUGCAUUUCCCUCGUUUCACGCUCUCCACAAAUCAUAACCUCAGCGGAUGAUUUUUGUAAGGCGGCUUAUGGUGCAGCGACUUCUCUCAAGAAUACGGUUCUGCGUAUUCUACUACUGUUCUGCAUUUCUCUCGUCGUUUCAUUCUCCGCUGGUGGUUUGGGUAUAGCAGCUUAUGGUGCAGCGAUUUCUCUCAUGAAUAUGAUUCGGGGUAUUCUACUAUUGUUUUGCAUUUCUCUCAUUUCACGCUCUCCAGAAAUCAUAAACUCAGCGGAUGAUUUGUGUAAGGCGGCUUAUGGUGCAACAACUUUUCUCAAGAAUAUGAUUCAGCGUAUUCUACAAUGGUUUUGCAUUUUGCUCACUUCCCCCUCUCCACAAAUCUUAAAACCUGCCUACGAUGAGAUGGAUCGCUUGCAGAGAGUUCUGGUAAAAUUGGACGACACCAGCUGCAGCAAGAUCAGGACGAAGGUGAAUGCUUUGGAUGAACGAAUAAAAGAGGCAAUUUGGGAAUUUGAAGAUUUAAUUGAAUCCCAUGUCUUCCCUCAGAUUCUUCAGCAACUCGAAAGCAGAUCGUGUGUUGAGAGAGACAACUUGUCUUUCUCUGUAAAUCUGCAGAGUCUGCAACACCAUGUUGAUCGCUUUGUCGAGAAGAUGAAGAUGAUGGAGGAGGAAUACACUAAUGAAAUAGAGAAUAUGGCUGAAGAAGAAGGUGAGCCUAUUUACUCAAGAAUCGAUUUUGGUGGAAUCAACUCAAAGAUGAUUGGAUUAUCUUAUGAAUUUCAAAGAGCCAGAGAUGAACUUCUUGAACGUAAAAACAUUUCGAUUAUUGGGAUGGCGGGCGUUGGAAAGACAACUCUUGCGAAACAUAUUUUUGAAGAUCCAUCAAUUCAGAGCCAUUUUGAGUUUCGAGCAUGGGUCAAAGUUGGCAGAAAAUGUGAAUCAAAUGAACUAUUACGAUGCAUUCUAGCUCAAGUGGAUCCCAUUUACGCUUACCAAAUGCUUAUCCAAGUAGAUGAUGAUGACGAGGAAGUAGUUGGACUAUUGAAAGACAAAUUGAAGGAUAAGAAAUGUCUCAUCGUGUUGGAUGAUAUAUGGGAGAUACGAGAAGCAAAUCGCUUGACACAUUGCUUGCAAGAAAAUAAUAUUUCUGGAAGGAUUGGAUACUUACUAACAAGUAGACAAGAUAUAAAAUUCCAGGUGCAAUUUUAUAGCAAAUAUUAUAGCAGCAUAAGAGUGCCCUUGUUGAAUGAAGAAGAAAGUAAGGAAUUACUUGGUGAGAAGGUGUUUGGUGAAGAGGGUUUCCCUAUUCAACUUGAGGAAUUGGGAGAGAUGAUUGCGCGGAAAUGUGAAGGUCUUCCUCUUAUGAUAGUCACGGUUGCAGAGCUCCUAUCAAAAGCCGAAAAGACACCUGAAUACUGGACUGAGGUAGCCAACAAACAACACCCCUCACUUUUCGAGGAUGCAUAUAAUCAAAUAUCAGAGAUACUUUUUCCAAGCUAUGACUACUUACUCCAACAUUUAAAAAUGUUUUUCCUCUAUAUGGGAGCAUUCGCUCCAUAUCAUGAUAUCUGCCCAUACAUUUUCAAUAGCCUGUUGAGAUCUGAGGGGUUUCUUGAACUGAUUAGAGAAGAAAGUUAUGAAAAUUUCUUGAAAAAGCUUAUGUGGUAUAAUCUUGUUUCCGUCAGAUCAAAUUCUUUGUCUAUGUUGGGAGAGUAUCACAUGCAUUCUUGCUGGCAGCACUUGUGUAAGGAAGAAGCUAGUAGGAUCAAGUUUUCGCAUGUCUUACAAAGUUGUGAUGAUGUUAUAAGCGACCAACGUCGGUUGUGUGUUCAUUGGAACAGUUUAUUUUGCUUCAAAGAAGUUUGUGAUUCGAUAAAAAGUGAUUGCGCAUCCACUGUCCGUUCUCUCCUUUGUCAUGGUCCUUAUCACCCAUAUCCAAUCCAAAUAAAUGCCAUGGAUUUCAAGUUGCUCAGGGUACUACAUGCUCUUCAUGUCCGAUUUUACCAUAUCCCAAUUGAAAUUUUGAAACUAGUUUGUUUGCAGUACCUUUCCCUAACUUGCAACGGGGACCUCCCUCCUUCCAUAUCCAACCUUUUUCACCUUCAAUUCUUGAUUAUUGAUAGGCAUAUGAGCAUUAAAAAGCGUGGAGUUCAGCCAUAUAUGCCUGAGCAAAUUUGGGAGAUGCAAGAACUAGAGUGUAUUAAUGUCAAGGGAAGGGACCUACCAACCCCUAAUACUGAUGAUGCUACCUUGAACAAACUCGUCACACUGUGGGGUGUGAGUGCAAAUAGUUGUACAAGGGAAGUUCUCAAAAGAAUUCCUAAUUUAAACCAAUUAGGAAUUGAAGUGCAUUUGAAGCCUUAUAAUGAUGAUGAAACCAACCCAAUGAGUUGUUUGAGUUAUAUAUCACAACUCCAGAAUUUGCAAAAACUUACAUAUUGGGUCUACAAUCUGGACAUAAAGUAUGAGUUUAAUACUAUUCCUCUUUCAAUGUUUCCAUCAAGUCUCACAUUGUUACGUUUGGGUGGGUUGGGGUAUCCUUGGGAGUACAUGAAUGACAUUGGUUCGCUGCUGCCAAAUCUCUUGACCCUUUCAUUAGAAAGCUAUGCCUUUCGAGGCUCAGAGUGGGAAAUAUAUCCGGGGAGUUUUUUGAAACUUACUGAACUUCAAAUUGAAGACACCGAUUUGGUGCGAUGGAGACCUCAACUUGGAAGCUUCAUAGUGCUUCGUAGACUAAACAUGAGGCAUUGCUACAAAUUACAACAGCUCGAUUGGAUGAAUGAUCACAUGAUUACUGUUGAAUUAGUCGAGUGCAAUCCUUUAGCUGUCACUUGUGCCAAGGAAUUAGAAGACAAGUUUUUAUUCUUUAAACUUAUUGUCAAAUCUUCUUUUUGAGGUCAAGUGAGUCCGCAACUUGCCUAACAGGCAAAUGAAAGAGCCGAUCGAAGGAUUUUGUCGAUGAUUGUGAAAACUUGAGUGCUGAAUUGUGUUUGUAACCAGAAUUGUUUGAAAGUUGGAUUAGUGUGAAAACAUUAGUCCCUUGUUGAAGGAUUAGUGUGAAAACAUGUUUUACAAGUGAAGGGUACGUCGUCGUUUUGCAGUUCAGGCUAGCUUAUGUUGCUUCUGAAUCCAGAGUUGCUUUCCCUGCAGCAGAUUAUCACAACAUAAAAAUAAUAUAGCAGCGGCGUUGAUGGUGGAGAGGCUCAACCAUUCUCACUCUCGACAGAUACUUGUACUCGCUGUUUUGGGGAGGGAUGGGUCUGCUGCUUUUAGUGUGGCUGAUUGGGAAUAUGCACAACUUUCUGCUUGCUCUGGGAUGCAGGAGGUUCAAGAAGUUUUUUAAGAGGCCGAAAUGUUGAACAAUGGAUGAGCCGUCGUCGCUUACCUAAAGAUCUUCGAAGAUGGAACGAGUAUUAAAAUUCCACGACACAGGCUGCCGAGCAAUAGGCUAGUAACUUGCUUAACAAACGUCGUUAAAAUUUCCAUGUUUCAUCUUUUCCACGAGGGCCUAUAUUUUCUCGUAAGCUUUUCAAGAC